rnacentral:misc_RNA from 1 species
GAUGAAGAACGUAGCGAAAUGCGAUAAGUAGUGUGAAUUGCAGAAUUCAGUGAAUCAUCGAAUCUUUGAACGCACAUUGCGCCCCUUGGUAUUCCAUGGGGCAUGCCUGUUCGAGCGUCAUUUGUACCUUCAAGCUCUGCUUGGUGUUGGGUGUUUGUCUCGCCUCUGCGUGUAGACUCGCCUCAAAACAAUUGGCAGCCGGCGUAUUGAUUUCGGAGCGCAGUACAUCUCGCGCUUUGCACUCAUAACGACGACGUCCAAAAGUACAUUUUUACACUCUUGACCUCGGAUCAGGUAGGGAUACCCGCUGAACUUAAGCAUAUCAAUAAGCUGAGGA